UAAGACAGGGAAUAUUUGCUAGGAUUAAAUGUCAGGAAUUGUGAAAGACUGAGUUUAAAUGUACUUGGCUAAGGUGUAUGUAAUCUUCCGACUUCAACUGUAUGUAUCAUUACUGGUUAUUUUUUUAAGGCCCUCAUGAUGAAUACAUUUUCUUUUUAGAAGAUAUUUAACAGGUUUUUCAAACAUAAUUUAUCUUGUAGUUGUGUAUAGAAAUGUAUCUAUGACCACUUUCUUGAUGGGUGUGAUUGUCAGUGGUUCAGCAGUUAGCCAGCUCUUGGCCGGCCUAAUCAGAUCAUGCAUUUGUGAUUGGUGAGUUUGCUGUAGCAUCAUAUGCCCAAUCACGGAACCUUUGCGCCCUGCUAAUCAGGGUGUAACUACACCGGCACAGGAUUUCCUUUUUCAGCCCCUCGUAAUGAGUAUCCUGGUCAGCCGUCAGAUCCUAAAAGGUCUUCUCUGCCGCUCCUGACAGAGAGGGGUGCUAGCAGGCUGGCCCAUUGCUCAUGGGGCCAUUUCUCCCUAGAUGCCGUCCUCUCGAAGGCUUGGAGGUAAGCCUUGGUGUCGUCAGCCUCUGUCAGCUGGCUGAGUUCAGCUCGCAGGAGAGUGGUCUGUUGACACUUCCUCCAGCAGCUCCCGAUGCAUAGCCGGUUGUGCUAUGUUCACCUCCACCAGCUGUUUCACCAAUGCUUCCAUUGCGCUCCGUGUCAGUUUAGUUAUUGAGCUUAGUUUGCUUUGCCCGCAUUAUCCAUCAUAUGUUCAAGGGUGUGGGGUUUCAACGUCACCAAGUACAAUAAACAAACACAAACACGGUGCACAACUACAAUGCAAAUGGGAAUUUAUUAGGAUAAUUUGCACAUGGUGGGAAAGGGGGGUGUCUAGCAACCAGCUCACAACCAGUAAUCGUACAGCUACUCCUCUCUAACAUGCAUUUCCCUCUCAGCCCUCUCCUUCUUUGUGCAGCCUGCUUCCUCUUUUAUCCCCAAGCACUCAAUGGCUUAAUGAUCCACAGGCAUGCUUCGUUGGGGCAGGAAGUACAUAUAAGGUGAUCUUGGCUCUCCCUCCAUCACACUUUUGACAGGCCUCUCCAGUCAGGUUUCCUCAAGCUGUAGGAAACCCCUUUUUCACGCCCUGUUGAUGACGCUGGUCUGUUGGAACCUCUUCAACCUUCUGCCUUAAAUCUGCCGAACUUCCAAAGGAGAACUUUGUAUCUAAGUUUAACAUUUUAUUGAUUUGGCCAUUUUUGUUCAAUAUAUAUAUAUCCUGUAGUCAGGCAUAUUUAUGCAAAUGUGUGUAUCUUUUCUCCUGUCAAUUAUGUUUUGUUUAAUGUUUAUUUGUUUCAUUUAUUUUUUAUUUUUUGAAAUGUACAUAGCAUACAGUGUAAAACUAUUCAAAUAUACCAACACAAUAUCUUUAUAUUCUUAUCAAUGCUAAUGUAAAUUAAUGUUUUUGUGUCCUGAUAAGAUGAGUCAUUUGGACGUUUUACAGAUGUUAUGUAUCUGAUACUGAAGGCCUUUUGCUCCACUAGGGGGUGAAAGGAACAAGUACUUCAAAUAUUUGAUAUGGAAGAGCCUCUAGAGCAAGAGAAGUUAAGAAAUAUAUACUCUUAUGCAAGAACACUGUCCAUAUAUAUUUUGAACAUAAUUUCUUCUCCCGUACCAUAUAAUUUUGUAUUUCUUUGGCUGUGUUUACACAGGCAGCCCAAUUCUGAUCUUAUUUUAUUAAUUGGUCUUUUGACCAAUCAGAUCAGCUUUAAAAAAUAGCUGAUGUGAAAACAUCUGAUGUGAUAGGUCGAAAGACCAUUUAGUGGAAAAAAAUUCACAAUUGGGCUUCCUGUGGAAACGCGUACUUUGUGAUGGUAACACAUUUACAGGUAGACCAGAGAAGCCACAUCCCUGAUUGGCAGAUGAAUCGCAACGCUGAUUAGAAGCACCUGCUACUCACCGCUAACUCACCUGUCUUCCCUAUAAUAAAUACUGUUUCUUAUUGAAAAAGUUGUGAACCUACACACUGUAGAAGGCUGUUAAGCCAAAUCAUAUGUGGAUGCUAUCCUGAUGUAGUAAAAAUAAUAACAAUAAAUAAAAAAUUAACUAAG